CCGAGCUCUCUGUGCAGCGGGAUGCAGCGGGCCGAGGCCCGGCCACGUCAGCACCCCGAGGGGGCUGCCCCGGGGGGCGGAAGCGGCGGGGAGCGGGCAGCUGCAGCGGCCGCGGGAGCCAUGGACCCCACGAGGCUGCUGUUUCAGGAGCCUUCCCUCUACACAGUCAAGGCCAUAUUCAUCUUGGACAAUGAUGGACGGCGACUCUUAGCCAAGUACUACGACGACACCUUUCCAUCCACGAAAGAACAGAAGACCUUUGAGAGGAGCGUUUUCAAUAAAACCCACAAAACUGACAGUGAGAUCGCCUUUCUGGAGGGGCUGACCAUUGUCUAUAAAAGCAGCAUCGACCUCUUUUUCUACGUGGUGGGGAGUUCCCAGGAAAAUGAGCUGAUGCUAAUGACAGUUCUCACCUGUCUGUUCGACUCCCUCAAUCACAUGUUACGGAAGAAUGUAGAGAAGCGCUCCCUGCUGGACAACCUGGACGGGGCGUUCCUCGUGGUGGAUGAGAUCGUCGAUGGGGGGGUGAUUCUGGAGAGCGAUCCUCAACAAGUGAUCCAGAAGGUGAACUUCAGGACAGUCUCGGAGCCGGCGGCGUACGGGUGGACGACAGCCCUCUGUCCGAGCAAAGCGUUGCCCAGGUCUUUCUGUCUAGACUAAUCCUGUCAGCAUGAGCCCUGUGGCUGUCCGUGUCUAACCCAGCACUAACCACCUUCUCACACCCGGCAGAGUUCUGCAAUCUGCCAAAGAGCAAAUUAAAUGGUCCUUAUUAAAGUGAACGUCCCAGAGGAGAGCGCCUGGAUCCUCCCGAUUGGAUGGAUCUGAACUGCGACGGCAAAUGAUUCCUCGCCUUAUUCGAUUAGCCGUUUGCAAAUUGGCAUGAAAAGUCUGAUAAAAGCUUUUGGGUAGGAUGCAAGAUGGCUGACAUUGGCCGCGCCUCCUGGGGGAACGCCAGCCUUCCACGGACACGGGUUUAAACCCAGUCUCGGUACCAUGAAAUUAUCUGCAUGCUAAAGGGGAGGGUGGGGGUUGGGCGAAUUAACUGGUUAACAGACCAAAUUCUGCUCCUUAAACCAGUGUAAAUGAGGAGUGACAUCGAUGGGGUUAUUUCAGAUUGACAGUGGUGUAACUGAGAGCAGAACCUGGCCCAAGAUCCAUGAAGAGCUCCAGAAUUCCUCAGCGUUAUUACAGUUAUUUAAGGAAUGAAUAGGCGGAUUGAUCAUUUGUAAUUGCACCACCUCAAACCCUGCACGAGAGUCAAUUAGAAUUUGAUUGGUACUAGCAGAGCCAGAACGUAACGAGUUGAAUCUUCAGUUUCACCAGUAAAGAGCUGGCUCCUUCUUUUGCAGGGCUGUCACUAGUGCCUGCACACUUGUUGAUCAAAACAGCCAGCCGAUGCUUGCUUGCUUCUCAGUGAGGGUCGGGCCCUACAGACACAGCCUGAGGCUUUCAAAACCAUAGGAAGGGAUUUGCUUGCCCUUUUCUCAUUCAGACAAAUGGGGCUUGGUCAUCCAGGUGGCGCUAAGCUCUUUGGAAUAUCUCAGCCACUUCCAAAAUUUCUUCCACUGUCUCCCAAGGGAACCGGCGCUUUGAUCCCUUUUGGGGAUGGCCAUGCCUGUGCAGAGGGUUGGCGUAAAGUAAGUGCCACUGUCACAUCUUCCCACAUGCAGGGUGGGGAUGAGUGCACAGGAAUCAUUAUCACCCUGUCAGAGUAAGAUUCAGUGACGACCACUAAUAACCCCCCCAAGCUCUUACAGGGUGCUUUUCAUCAGUAGAUCUCAAAGCACUUUACAAAAGAGGUCAGGUCAUUAUACAGAUGGGGAAACUGAGGCACA